GGUUCGAUGGCGUAGUUGGUUAUCGAUCUGUCCAACAUAAGGCCUUUUCUCAAUACCCUUACACAGAAGGUUCCCAGUUCGAGCCCUGGGUCGAAUCA